AGAGUUUGAUCCUGGCUCAGGAUGAACGCUAGCUACAGGCUUAACACAUGCAAGUCGAGGGGCAGCAUGGUCUUAGCUUGCUAAGGCCGAUGGCGACCGGCGCACGGGUGAGUAACACGUAUCCAACCUGCCGUCUACUCUUGGACAGCCUUCUGAAAGGAAGAUUAAUACAAGAUGGCAUCAUGAGUCCGCAUGUUCACAUGAUUAAAGGUAUUCCGGUAGACGAUGGGGAUGCGUUCCAUUAGAUAGUAGGCGGGGUAACGGCCCACCUAGUCUUCGAUGGAUAGGGGUUCUGAGAGGAAGGUCCCCCACAUUGGAACUGAGACACGGUCCAAACUCCUACGGGAGGCAGCAGUGAGGAAUAUUGGUCAAUGGGCGAGAGCCUGAACCAGCCAAGUAGCGUGAAGGAUGACUGCCCUAUGGGUUGUAAACUUCUUUUAUAAAGGAAUAAAGUCGGGUAUGCAUACCCGUUUGCAUGUACUUUAUGAAUAAGGAUCGGCUAACUCCGUGCCAGCAGCCGCGGUAAUACGGAGGAUCCGAGCGUUAUCCGGAUUUAUUGGGUUUAAAGGGAGCGUAGAUGGAUGUUUAAGUCAGUUGUGAAAGUUUGCGGCUCAACCGUAAAAUUGCAGUUGAUACUGGAUAUCUUGAGUGCAGUUGAGGCAGGCGGAAUUCGUGGUGUAGCGGUGAAAUGCUUAGAUAUCACGAAGAACUCCGAUUGCGAAGGCAGCCUGCUAAGCUGCAACUGACAUUGAGGCUCGAAAGUGUGGGUAUCAAACAGGAUUAGAUACCCUGGUAGUCCACACGGUAAACGAUGAAUACUCGCUGUUUGCGAUAUACGGCAAGCGGCCAAGCGAAAGCGUUAAGUAUUCCACCUGGGGAGUACGCCGGCAACGGUGAAACUCAAAGGAAUUGACGGGGGCCCGCACAAGCGGAGGAACAUGUGGUUUAAUUCGAUGAUACGCGAGGAACCUUACCCGGGCUUGAAUUGCAACUGAAUGAUGUGGAGACAUGUCAGCCGCAAGGCAGUUGUGAAGGUGCUGCAUGGUUGUCGUCAGCUCGUGCCGUGAGGUGUCGGCUUAAGUGCCAUAACGAGCGCAACCCUUAUCGAUAGUUACCAUCAGGUUAUGCUGGGGACUCUGUCGAGACUGCCGUCGUAAGAUGUGAGGAAGGUGGGGAUGACGUCAAAUCAGCACGGCCCUUACGUCCGGGGCUACACACGUGUUACAAUGGGGGGUACAGAGGGCCGCUACCACGCGAGUGGAUGCCAAUCCCAAAAACCUCUCUCAGUUCGGACUGGAGUCUGCAACCCGACUCCACGAAGCUGGAUUCGCUAGUAAUCGCGCAUCAGCCACGGCGCGGUGAAUACGUUCCCGGGCCUUGUACACACCGCCCGUCAAGCCAUGGGAG
rnacentral:rRNA from 1 species